UCACAGGCUCUUUUUCCAUUUCCCUGAAAACCAUUUUUUUUCUAAUUCCAAACCCGCUGAGGGUGGGGUCCUUACUUUACGGAAUCAUUGGGACGUCCCUGUCCCAUAGAAAUUGAUUUUUUAAAGGGGUUAGGGUAGAUUAAGGUUAAAGGUGGGGUCGUCCCAAGGAUCCCAGAUAGCACUAACCACGUGUAUGCUGUGUUUUGCGGGUGGUUUUGGAAGAGAGCUAGCUACACUUGAAUAACUGCAAUUUCAAGUGCAUCAACUACCUUAAUGCUAAGUUUACCUUUGCCAUAACGAUAGUCCAACAAUAAAUGUGAAUUAUUCAGAAGAUACUUCGGUCACUUCAUUACUAUUCCGUGUCAGUUGACGUUUGCAUAGGCUGCUACUUUUGACUACAGUGAAUGGCAAAUAGCCCUCGGGGAUUGACAAGGUACACGUCAAGUCGACAAAUGGGUGAAUGGUUAUCAUAAUGCUGUACAUUUUAGAAUUUGAACGGUUUAAAUGCUACAAUCAGUGCACGCAACCGCAACAAACGCUCUGUACUGAGCUGGUGUCGCAUUUCUCCAGUGCACGUCCAGAUAAAAGGUCAAACUGAUUACGAAUGUUUAGUCCUGCUUCUCAGAAAACAAGGAGUUUCAAGUUGUAAUGUCACGUGCACAAUUGUCUUUCUUGCAAGCGCUAAAUCCAACAAUUAAAUAAUCAAUCAUGUAAUACUAAAAAUAACAAGGUCGAAAUAAGAAGAACACGAGAAAGUAAGUAGUAAGCUGUAUACAGGGUCAGUGCCAAUACCAUAUUUACAAUGUGCAGGGAUACUGGAGUGAUAGAACUAGAUAUGUAAGGGGGUAAGGUGACGAGGCAUCAGGAUUUAUAAUACAUAGUAGCAGCAGAGUAUAUGAUGAUUGUAUGUGAGUGGGUGUGCGUGUAGUCAGAAUAAAUGUAAGUGCAUAUUAUGAGUGUUUGUAGGGCCCUGUGAGUGUGCAUAGAGACAGUGUAAAAAAUAAACACACGGGUCAAAUCAGAUGGUGUGUAGCCAUUUUGUCAUCGAUUUAGUUAGCUAUUGAGCAAGUCUUAUGGCUUGGGGAUAGAAGCUGUUCGGGAGCCUGUUGAUGUCAGACUUGAUGCACUGGUACCGCUUGCCGUGCACAAGCAGAGAGAACAGUCUAUGGAUCGAGUAAACUAAGAUCAUUGCUUCAAUAGUGAUACAAUAUGCCUGGAGAAAUACCCUACUAAACUAAGCCAUGCGUUUUGAUGUGUUUCUCAUUAGAUGGUGUCUUCUGUAUUGUAUUGAAUUGUAUUCUAUGGUAUAUUGUCUUAUUUCAUGCUUAUAGAUCUUUUUUUUUUCCCUCAGUGGUGAAACAGAAUGGAAUAGAAAAUAUCUUCUACAAGGUGUAAUUUACUAUAAAAGUACAUCUGGUGUUACUGUUUUCAUACCGUUUUGGAUACAUUAGAGAGCCUUGGAUGAAAUGUGUCAAACAGCACAGGGUAGAAGUUUAGGAACAGAUAAUCCCAAUAGAUUUCCUAGAUGUCAUGUUUCAGUGGCAUAUCACUAACACUGUGAGGUUUACAGUGUCACUCCAAUCCCCCCGGCCAGGUGAUAUAGACGUGUCUUUCAGACGAGGGAUGCAGCAGGCAGACGCUACAGGAAAGUACCUCAAAGAAGUUGAGUUCACCAACAUGUUUGCCAGUAUUAUGGCCCGUGCCCGCCAGACUUGCAAAGCGAUUUUGAAGCACAACAGUUGUUGCUCUGGCCUAGAAAUUGUGACGCAUCACUUAAAGAGAGGAGUGUGUGGGGGGGCUGGUGGUGGACAUGAAGUACAUGGAUACAGCAGCUGGUCUAUUGUGGCUGGACUUCCAUCCUCCAGGGAGAGAGACUAUAGUGGCGGAGAUCUUUGUGGGCUAUACUCGGCCUUGUCUCAGGAUGGACCUGAGCUCUAGGACCAUGCCCCAGGACUACCUGACAUGAUGACUCCUUGCUGUCCCCAGUCCACCUGGCCAUGCUGCUGCUCCAGUUUCAACUGGCCUGGGCCCUAGGACCAUGUCCCAGGACUACCUGACAUGAUGACUCCUUGCUGUCCCCAGUCCACCUGGCCAUGCUGCUGCUCCAGUUUCAACUGUUCUGCCUUACUAUUAUUCAACCAUGCUGGUCAUUUAUGAACAUUUGAACAUCUUGGCCACGUUCUGUUAUAAUCUCCACCCGGCACAGCCAGAAGAGGACUGGCCACCCCACAUAUGCUCUCUCUAAUUCUCUCUUUCUUUCUCUCUCUCGGAGGACCUGAGCCCUAGGACCGUGCCCCAGGACUACCUGACAUGAUGGCUCCUUGCUGUCCCCAGUCCACCUGACUGUGCUGCUGCUCCAGUUUCAACUGUUCUGCCUUAUUAUUAUUCGACCAUGCUGGUCAUUUAUGAACAUUUGAACAUCUUGGUCAUGUUCUGUUAUAAUCUCUACCCGGCACAGCCAGAAGAGGACUGGCCACCCCACAUAGCCCGGUUCCUCUCUAGGUUUCAUCCUAGGUUUUGGCCUUUCUAGGGAGUUUUUCCUAGCCACCGUGCUUUUACACCUGCAUUGUUUGCUGUUUGGGGUUUUAGGCUGGGUUUCUGUACAGCACUUUGAGAUAUCAGCUGAUGUACGAAGGGCUAUAUAAAUAAAUUUGAUUUGAUUUAUAGAACAUGUAAGUCAUUCUGGGGGAUCCUAAGGGAGCAUGUCUGUCUGCCUCUUUCUCCCUCUCUAUAUAUUCCUCCGGAUUGGAGACCAGGUGCAAUACAUUUUAUCAACACUAGAUGGCACCUUUGGCAUGCAUUACAGGGUAAUCCAUUCUUGACUAUGAAUAUGCCAAAUAAAUGUUUUGCAAAACAGGUGCCUUCAUCAAAUUCAUUUGCUCGUUUACGAGACACGUUGUCCAGAUGAUGAUGCAGAUCUGCAAUGGUAUGUGACCUCAGUAUCUCUCUAACCACCCAGGACAUGCUGUAGGCCCCUCAAUCAGGAUGGAACCGGUGUCAACCAGUCUUGUGUGUGUGUAGGAGAAGAACGGGAAGGACGAGUCUGUGUUGUGAAUAAGAGUGCUUUGUUCUGUGUUAGAUAAAGACACGGAUCAAAGAGUUUCUGGAGCACCUGUUCCAGCGCAUAGUGGCUGACCACUGCGGACCAUGACAGAAGGAGACAGGGAUUCCUCAGACAGAGGGGGCUCUCGCAGGCAAGCCGGACGAUGGGAUCAGAGACAUCCCUGCCAUGCGCUGGUGGUCAGCCAUGGGGCCCUCAUACAGUUGAAGUCGGAAGUUUACAUACACCUUAGCCAAAUACAUUUAAACUCCGUUGUUUCACAAUUCCUGAAAACGCUUUGUUUUAGGUCUGUUAGGAUCACCACUUUAUUUUAAGAAUGGGAAAUGUCAGAAUAAUAGUACAGAGAAUGAUUUAUUUAAGCUUUUAUUUCUUUCAUCACAUUCCCAUUGGGUCAGACGUUUACAUACACUCAAUUAUGUUUUUGGUAGCAUUGCCUUUAAAUUGUUUAAUUUUGGUCAAAUGUUUCAGGUAGCCUUCCACAAGCUUCCCACAAUAAGUUGGGUGAAUUUUGUCCCAUUCUUCCUGACAGAGCUGGUGUAACUGAGUCAGGUUUGUAGGCCUCCUUGCACAUGAGUUCUGCCCACAAAUUUUCUAUAGGAUUUGAGGUCAGGGCUUUGUGAUGGCCACUCCAAUACCUUGACUAUGUUGUCCUUAAGCCAUUUUGCCACAACUUUGGAAGUAUGCUUGGGGUCAUUGUCUAUUUGGAAGACCCAUUUGCGACCAAGCUUUAACUUCCUGAAUGAUGUCUUGAGAUGUUGCUUCAAUAUAUCCACAGAAUUUUCCCCUCUCAUGAUUACAUCUAUUUUGUGAAGUGCACCAGUCCCUCCCGCAGCAAAGCACCCCCACAACAUGAUGGUGUUCUUCGGCUUGCAAGCCUCCUGAUUUUUCCUCCAAACAUAACGAUGGUCAUUAUGGCCAAACAGACAUUUCUCCAAAAAAGUACGAUCUUUGUCCCCAUGUGCAAUUUCAAACUGUAGUCUGGCUUUUUUUAAUGGCAGUUUUGGAGCAGUGGCUUCUUCCUUGCUGAGUGGCCUUUCAGGUUAUGUCCAUAUAGGACUCAUUUUACUGUGGAUAUAGAUACUUUUGUACAUGUGUCCUCCAGCAUCUUCACAAGGUCCUUUGCUGUUCUGGGAUUGAUUUGCACUUUUCACACCAAAGUACGUUCAUCUCUAGGAUACAGAACACGUCUCUUUCCUGAGCUGUAUGACGGCUGCGUGGUCCCAUGGUGUUUAUACUUGCGUACUAUUGUUUGUACAGAUGAACCGUGGUACCUUCAGGCGUUUGGAAAUUGCUCCCAAGUAUGAACCAGACUUGUGGAGGUAUACAAUUUUUUUCUGAGGUCUUGGCUGAUUUCUUUUGAUUUCCCCAUGAUGUCAAGCAAAGAGGCACUGAGUUUGAAGGUAGGCCAUGAAAUACAUCCACAGGUACACCUCCGAUUGACUCAACUGAUGUCAAUUACAAUAUCAGAAGCUUCUAAAGCCAUGACAUCAUUUUCUGGAAUUUUCCAAGCAGGUUAAAUGUGAAAUCUAAGUGAAAUAAUCUGUAAACAAUUGUUGGAAAAAUGACUUGUGUCAUGCACAAAGUAGAUGUCUUAACCGACUUGCCAAAACUAUAGUUUGUUAACAAGACAUUUGUGGAGUGGUUGAAAAACGAGUUUAAAUUACUCCAACCUAAGUGUAUGUAAACUUCCGACUUCAACUGUAUAUGGGGUAGAGUGGAAAGGGUUGAAGGGAGGAACACAUCUCCUGGUUUGUUCACACUAGGGCCGACUAGAACAGUAUUGUGCUCUUUAGGAAAUGUUCUUUUCACAUUGUCCUUUCCAGCAUGUCUUCAGCAACUAUGGUGGAUGCGUAACCAAGCCAGCCCAGUGGAGCUUGGCUUCACUCGGCUUGGCCCUAUAGUGUGGAUCAGGCUAUUAAGUGCUAACUAAGAUAUACACAGAGACACCACACAGGCAUCUGGUUUAAAGUUAUUUAAAACGUUUAAAGUCAUAUAUGUAUUUGUUUUGUCUCGUACUUUGUCAAUGUACAUUAUUUAAAACAAUCAAGGUUGAGGAAAUAAACAGUCAUAUUUUGAA